rnacentral:rRNA from 1 species
UACGUAGGGGGCAAGCGUUGUCCGGAAUCAUUGGGCGUAAAGCGCGUGUAGGCGGUCCGGUAAGUCGGUUGUGAAAGUCCAGGGCUCAACCCUGGGAUGCCGAUCGAUACUGCCGGACUAGAGUCCGGAAGAGGCGAGUGGAAUUCCCGGUGUAGCGGUGAAAUGCGCAGAUAUCAGGAGGAACACCGAUUGCGAAGGCAGCUCGCUGGGACGUUACUGACGCUGAGACGCGAAAGCGUGGGGAGCAAACAGG